AAAGCGAGUUGUCUGCAUGGACUCAGCCUUGCGCGCUUUGGAAGGUUCCUGUAUGGGAACAAGGGUACUAUGUGGUGUCGGUCACUGUAGGAACUGAGUAGAACAGGUUCGGUUUGGGAACUGCUUGGGUUUUCGAGCAGUCGAAGACGACUGAGCUAGCUCUCGUGGGUUGUUUGAACAAACGCUGCGUUCUUGGAUAAUAGUGCAGUACGUUGCUUUGGAUUGACUGAUAAAUUUUCAUCGCACUGGGUCACCGACAGAGUUACGUGCUACAAAACUGCAGGCAAAGCGCUGUGUCCGUGCACGACAGAGCACUCGGUUGCUGCGGAGACAGCAUCCGGCAGCGUGGUGCCUCCACAGCGAGCCGGAUCGUUUCUUUCUCGUGCGUAUUUCCCGAGGACAUAGAGGAUGAGCGCCAUUGCUGGGCACUAGAUUAUAAGGUAUCGAGGCAUUUUGAGCCAGACGAGGCUUAGGGCGCACGACUAGACUCAGCCUUUAUCUCGUUAGUUACCAGUACGCGUUUGGGCGCAUCCACGGGUUCCGUCCGAGUCAUUGGACCGCUCGAGAUAUGGUAUGCGGUAUCUGGCCUGUUCGCUAUGUCGACGCGGAGCCAUGUGCCGCUAGACCUGAUGCCAAACCAGUGUUUGUUUCGUUUGUUGAAAAUGCAAGGAGCGAAGCCUGGUCAGGUUCGGUAAGCCGGCGGUGUCUCUGCUGGAGCCCAUUUGAAACCUCGCUCAGUGAUGCAAUGAUCGUAUUGAGGGUCAUAUCUAGUUUUACAUGGAUAUGGGGGAAACAACAUGGGGUCAUGCAUCCGCCCGAACAGGCGGUAUGAAAAUGAUAAGCAGGAGCGCAGACCAAGAGCCGCGUACAACUUGGUAAGCGGUAGUAUGUACAUUAGACGGCAGCCCCGGGGCAGCCAAUGUGGUGAUUGCUGCUGGCCCGAAAUCGCGCUUGCCGAGUUGUCAGUUUAAUCUGUGAAUCAGCAUCGCGCGGUACUCAUCGUAUCGCAGUUCCGCCUUGGUGCUUCGGUAUGUGGUCAGGAAGACGCAUUCCGACCACCAGGAGUCGGUUUCCGUCGCCGGAACGUCACCUAAGUAACCAGAUUUUCUGAUAAGAGAACAAAUGGUCUCGUAUUUGCUCCAUUUCAGUUCUAGCGGAACCUCGGGUAGAUACGUUGCGCUGUACCGCGAGGUCCGUGGCCUUGUGAACCUUCUCCACGCAAAUCGCCGCUGCUGAGACUGCGGUUCCACUUCAACAAUCAAUCCAUGGACGCCAGGUUCCCAGUCCCAAACCGAGUCGCGCUCCGUAAAGUCGCUCAGAAGACUAACAACGCAUAGCAGCCGGGGAAGUUCCUCGAUACGGAUCGGGGCGAAGCGACGAUCAUGCAAGGCCGCGGUGACUGCGUAUGAACGCAAUGCAUCGUGGAGGCCGGUCGGUGUCAGUGUACCGAUGCAACCGCGAAGUUGCCACACCGAGUCGGUGGUCGUCCGCAGAUGCCCUCUGUCCGCGAGUAUCUUCCAUGUGAUGAAGAGUCCGUAAGCGUCGCUGUCUGGUGGCAGCGCUUCACGGAACGGGUCGUCAUCGGUUGAUAGACGACCUCGAGCGCGCAGUUCCCGUUCUAGCACCGAGAACGCGUAUGCACACAUGACAGACGUCGCGACCACACCAGUAACCCCACCGGGGUGCUGCGCAGCCCCGCCGGCACCGCUGACCGUUGCGUUCGAAGCGUCCACCUGGGCGGUUACCGAAUUGUUGAGCGGCAAUCCCGGUGAUUCUCUGGCUUUCGUUGCAUCACUCAAGUUCCGUGCCGUUGGUUCGGUGGUAACGCUGCUCUCGUCCGACGUUGCCGCUGGGCUCCGUGUCAAGCGCUCGCCUGCACUUGCGGCCGGCUCAGUUGCUGCUGAGGAAGCUUUGUCACCAAAGUCAGUGUCUGAACGCUCUGACUGAACAGCGUCUCUUCGAAUUAACUUAUUCCACAUAGGCAAGCAAACGUUUUCAGGUGAACGUGCGUGCGCACGUCCAUGGACGCACGCAUCCGCUUCCUAGACACGCACGCGUGCACGCACGCAUGUCAAGUCUUUCAACUCAAUUCUGUUUCACCCCUGCUGCAGCGUAUAGCAGGUGAUCGAUAUUACGAUGCAAAGUACCGUUUGAAUCGUUGGCGAAUUGAAUGUAGGAUACAUAUUCUUUACUGAACAUUGGGAAGAGCACUGCACUCCUCUUUCGGGUCAGUAGGACCAUAGGAGAGGUACGGUUGGGGAACACUGACAGGAACCCAUGUAUGCUGCCUUUACCAAGACCCGAUAUUCUAAAAGUCUGCUUAUGGUCAAUGGUAGAAAAGGACCCGU